rnacentral:rRNA from 1 species
AUGGAAAUAACUCUAUCUAAUCCCGGGCAAUCUCUACUAUCAAAUAUAUCUCUAACAUCCCCCUGCAGUCGUAGCGGUAGCGUUGCGAACAACAAGAGCGUCGGGGACGGUCAGACUGGAGAGAAUAGCAGCCGACGGCUGACAUCCCCCGCAGUCGUAGCGGGAGCGUCGCGGACGGUGUCGCGUUGCGGACGCGUUGACUAUAGAGGAAGCCGACGAGUUGCUCAAGCGGAUGAUAACCCUUUGUGCCGAUGUCGAGGUAGCCGAGAGCGUAGGGUGGUGCAGCCGUGGUUGAGGUAG